AUUGAACGCUGGCGGCAGGCCUAACACAUGCAAGUCGAGCGAGCGGCGGACGGGUGAGUAAUGUCUGGGAAACUGCCUGAUGGAGGGGGAUAACUACUGGAAACGGUAGCCAAUACCGCACACCAUAGGAUGAGCCCAAGUGGGAUGAGGUAGUUGGUGAGGUAAAGGCUCACCAAGCCGACGAUCUCUAGCUGGUCUGAGAGGAUGACCAGCCACACUGGGACUGAGACACGGCCCAGACUCCUACGGGAGGCAGCAGGGGGGAAUAUUGCGCAAUGGAGGCAACCCUGACGCAGCCAUGCCGCGUGAAUGAAGAAGGCCUUCGGGUUGUAAAGUUCUUUCGGUAGCGAUGCGUUAACUACAGAAGAAGAACCGGCUAACUCCGUGCAAGCCGCCGCGGUAAUAC
rnacentral:rRNA from 1 species